rnacentral:rRNA from 1 species
CCUACGGGAGGCUGCAGUCGAGAAUCUUCCGCAAUGGACGAAAGUCUGACGGAGCGACGCCGCGUGGUGGAUGAAGUCCCUCGGGACGUAAACACCUUUUAUGAGGGAGGAAGUUUAUUGACGUUACCUCAUGAAUAAGGGGCUCCCAACUCUGUGCCAGCAGGAGCGGUAAUACAGAGGCCCCGAGCAUUAUCCGGAUUUACUGGGCGUAAAGGGUGCGUAGGCGGUUAUAUUAGUCAGGUGUUAAAUCCUGGGGCUCAACCCCAGAAUCGCGC